UACAGAGGCCUCAAGCGUUGUUCGGAUUCAUUGGGCGUAAAGGGUGCGUAGGCGGCGCGGUAAGUCGGGUGUGAAAUCUUGGAGCUUAACUUCGAAACUGCAUUCGAUACUGCCGUGCUUGAGGACUGGAGAGGAGACUGGAAUUUACGGUGUAGCGGUGAAAUGCGUAGAUAUCGUAAGGAAGACCAGUGGCGAAGGCGGGUCUCUGGACAGUUCCUGACGCUGAGGCACGAAGGCCAGGGGAGCAAACGGG
rnacentral:rRNA from 1 species